CGGGGCGAGUGAGGGAGUCCAACCGGAGUAGCCGACUUCUGCGAGACCCUUCGGGAUCCGCUGGGGCCGACAGCGACGGUCGGGCUGAGAGGCUGGAAGGCAGCAGUCAGGCCGGAAGGCGACCUCCACUACCUGAUCCGGGUAAUGCCGGCGCAGGGAACCCGUCUCGUAGGUUU
rnacentral:ncRNA from 1 species